AACUUGAGCCUUGGGUCCAGGAGCGAGGGUGUCACAGUGGGGCGGGGUGCUCCUCGCCUGCGGUGACGCGACCUCAUGUGACCCCGGCCACCAGUCACUAUCUCACAUGGUGACUUUGCUGAUCAGGCAGGAGGCGGUUUCUGUGACGGGUCGGGUGUGCACAGAAUGGUGGGAGGACUGGAGAUGAGGGUUGGCCACGGGCCUCACCUGGCCCCCUCUGCUGCCGCUGCCCAGUGCCGAGCACACCCUGGAUGUGGGGGGCGGAGGACUUCCAUUCUCUGAGUCCGCUCGUGAUUAUGUGUCUGGAAAUUGGACCAGCACAGCCCGUCCCCAAGCUCUGCUGUCCCAGCCCUGGCCGAGCCUCCCGCUCCUCGUGACCCGAGAUGGCGCACGCUCACCCAUGACCGUCGGGGGAGGGCAGAGGAAGGAAGGGCGGGCUUCAGGGGCAUAACCAGAGGCACCACGAGUCACUUCCUUCCUCAUGCCAUUGGUGGAAACUGUCUUGUGACACAACCUUCCUGAGAGGGAGGCUGGGAAUUGUAGUCUUCAUUCUGGAAGAAAGUGUUCCUCUAAACCCGGGGGCUCAGUUGCUCCAGCCCACAGGAUGGACCAGGGGAUGUUUCCAAGCCCCGAGGGCCCUCUCCGCGUGUCACUAGAUAAUCCGAGAUGAAGAAGGCGGACCUGAGACCGCGACACCAGCCACGUGCAGGUGCUCGCCCACGAUGUUAGGAAGAGAUCAGACCGGUGCCUUCAGACAAGCUAGAGUUUGGGUCCGUGAGAUCGGUGAGUCAUUGGCUGAUACAAAUCUCAGUCCGCAAACAAAAAGACAGCAGCUCCCGCUGGAAGGGAGAUGGAAAUCGCCUCUUAAAACGUUUGCGUCACAGCAGGCUGACGAGCCCGCGAGAUGCCUGAUGACAUCUUAAAUGGCGCCAGCGCUGCUUCACUCUCUUCAACAGUCAUCGCGCUUGUUAUUUGUCAUGUGACAGUCACGUGAUGCACUUCCUGGGACCCGUGUGUCAACCGUCCUUCCUCUGCCGUGUAAAUCCAACACACUCUUCCCUCAGACAGCCUUUCCCUCUCACGGUCUCUGGUCCCACCGUGUGACUCUCGCCGUGGGGCAGGCGGGAUGCUCCGUCCCCCCACCCGCAGGGAUCCUGCCAGCCACACGCCGCUAGCCUGUGCGCACCUGACCCAGACCGUGUGCAGGCAAGUCACUGUCUGAAAGGACUGGGUCGCGCGGCCCGUCUUGCCGAGCAGUGUUGUCCGGCUGAGCCAUUUGUGAACGCGCAGUCCUCAGAGCUGCACAUGUACGUCAGUCCCGACUGUGCGGGAGGACCAAGCCUCUGUCCCUGUGAGUGAUUUUCCUGCACAGUCGCCUCUCACUUGCCUUUCAGUUCUAGGAACAGUUGUCCACCUGAAUGUCAGAUAAAGACAGGAUCGUCCCAGAGAUACAGCCCCGGGAAUGCAGUCACGUGUUCCCAGCAUUCAGGCAUUCGUCUCAUUUUCCUGAACAAGCAUCAUUAUUUGUGCAGCCAGACACCUGAGCCUGUUCGUGAAGUGGCGGUCCCUGAAAGGGCCCAGACACAGCCAGACACCUGGGCCCAGAUCUGGGGUGACGAUCUAGAAACUCGACACCCAGGUGUGUUUCCAGUUACUCAUUUAAGUGAUUCCGCCUGCUUGGUACAUUGCUCUUGGGUUUAAUGAAGAAAGAAUUGGAGCCAGAGGGUCAGCAGUCUCUGGCUCAUUCUCCGGAACCGUGAGAGGACAUCGGGGAAGCAAUAGUGUCAAUCUGACUCACACGUUAACAUUGAUGAGCAUUCAGUGACCCCCAAGAAGCACCCCAUACCUGUUGGGAGUUCAAGAUGGACCAAAGCAGUCGGAGCACUUCCUUGAUAUUUUCCAAGGGGGAACACACACGGCGUG
rnacentral:lncRNA from 1 species